rnacentral:rRNA from 1 species
CGUAAAGCGUCCGCAGGUGGUUUUGGUAGUCUGCUGUCAAAGCGCGAGGCUCAACUUCGUAUCGGCGGUGGAAACUCCAAGACUAGAGCUAGGUAGGGGUCACGGGAAUUCCCAGUGUAGCGGUGAAAUGCGUAGAUAUUGGGAAGAACACCAGCGGCGAAAGCGCGUGACUGGGCCUGAGCUGACACUCAUGGACGAAAGCUAGGGGAGCGAAAGGGAUUAGAUACCCCUGUAGUCCUAGCCGUAAACGAUGACAACUAGGUGUUGCCCGUAUCGACCCGGGCAGUGCCGUAGCCAACGCGUUAAGUUGUCCGCCUGGGGAGUACGCACGCAAGUGUGAAACUCAAAGGAAUUGACGGGGGGCCCCGCACAAAGCGGUGGGAAGUAUGUGGUUAAUUCGAUGCAACGCGAAGAACCUUACCAAGGCUUGACAUGUCGCGAAUCUUCUUGAAAGGGAAGAGUGCCUUCGGGAGCGCGAACACAGGUGGUGCAUGG